UCCUGGCUCAGAACGAUUCGCUGACGGCGUGCUUUAUCAACAUCCAAGUCGAACGAUGAUCCCCCCGCUUGCGAGGGUGAUUAGUGGCGAACGGGUGAGUAAUACGUGAGUAACCUGCCCUUGACUCUGGGAUAAGCCUGGGAAACCGGGUGUAAUACUGGAUAGUACUGUCCACCGCAUGGUGGGUGGUGGAAAGGGUUUUACUGGUUUUGGAUGGGCUCACGGCCUAUCAGCUUGUUGGUGGGGUAAUGGCUCACCAAGGCGACGACGGGUAGCCGGCCUGAGAGGGUGACCGGCCACACUGGGACUGAGACACGGCCCAGACUCCUACGGGAGGCAGCAGUGGGGAAUAUUGCACAAUGGGCGGAAGCCUGAUGCAGCGACGCCGCGUGAGGGAUGACGGCCUUCGGGUUGUAAACCUCUUUCAGUAGGGAAGAAGCGAAAGUGACGGUACCUGCAGAAGAAGCGCCGGCUAACUACGUGCCAGCAGCCGCGGUAAUACGUAGGGCGCAAGCGUUGUCCGGAAUUAUUGGGCGUAAAGAGCUCGUAGGCGGUUUGUCGCGUCUGCUGUGAAAAGCCCGGGGCUCAACCCCGGGUCUGCAGUGGGUACGGGCAGACUAGAGUGCAGUAGGGGAGACUGGAAUUCCUGGUGUAGCGGUGAAAUGCGCAGAUAUCAGGAGGAACACCGAUGGCGAAGGCAGGUCUCUGGGCUGUUACUGACGCUGAGGAGCGAAAGCAUGGGGAGCGAACAGGAUUAGAUACCCUGGUAGUCCAUGCCGUAAACGUUGGGCACUAGGUGUGGGGGACAUUCCACGUUUUCCGCGCCGUAGCUAACGCAUUAAGUGCCCCGCCUGGGGAGUACGGCCGCAAGGCUAAAACUCAAAGGAAUUGACGGGGGCCCGCACAAGCGGCGGAGCAUGCGGAUUAAUUCGAUGCAACGCGAAGAACCUUACCAAGGCUUGACAUUCACCGGACCGCCCCAGAAGAUGGGGUUUCCCUUCGGGGUCGGUGGACAGGUGGUGCAUGGUUGUCGUCAGCUCGUGUCGUAAGAUGUUGGGUUAAGUCCCGCAACGAGCGCAACCCUCGUACUAUGUUGCCAGCACGUGAUGGUGGGGACUCAUAGGAGACUGCCGGGGUCAACUCGGAGGAAGGUGGGGAUGACGUCAAAUCAUCAUGCCCCUUAUGUCUUGGGCUUCACGCAUGCUACAAUGGCCGGUACAAAGGGUUGCGAUACUGUGAGGUGGAGCUAAUCCCAAAAAGCCGGUCUCAGUUCGGAUUGAGGUCUGCAACUCGACCUCAUGAAGUCGGAGUCGCUAGUAAUCGCAGAUCAGCAACGCUGCGGUGAAUACGUUCCCGGGCCUUGUACACACCGCCCGUCAAGUCACGAAAGUUGGUAACACCCGAAGCCGGUGGCCUAACCCCUUGUGGGAGGGAGCCGUCGAAGGUGGGACUGGCGAUUGGCGACUAAGUCGUA
rnacentral:rRNA from 1 species